rnacentral:rRNA from 1 species
GAUGAACGCUGGCGGCGUGCCUAAUACAUGCAAGUCGAGCGAACGGACGAGAAGCUUGCUUCUCUGAUGUUAGCGGCGGACGGGUGAGUAACACGUGGAUAACCUACCUAUAAGACUGGGAUAACUUCGGGAAGCCGGAGCUAAUACCGGAUAAUAUUUUGAACCGCAUGGUUCAAAAGUGAAAGACGGUCUUGCUGUCACUUAUAGAUGGAUCCGCGCUGCAUUAGCUAGUUGGUAAGGUAACGGCUUACCAAGGCAACGAUGCAUAGCCGACCUGAGAGGGUGAUCGGCCACACUGGAACUGAGACACGGUCCAGACUCCUACGGGAGGCAGCGGUAGGGAAUCUUCCGCAAUGGGCGAAAGCCUGACGGAGCAACGCCGCGUGAGUGAUGAAGGUCUUCGGAUCGUAAAACUCUGUUAUUAGGGAAGAACAUAUGUGUAAGUAACUGUGCACAUCUUGACGGUACCUAAUCAGAAAGCCACGGCUAACUACGUG